rnacentral:rRNA from 1 species
UACGGAGGGUGCGAGCGUUGUCCGGAAUCACUGGGCGUAAAGGGCGCGUAGGCGGCCUGAUAAGUAGGGGGUGAAAUCCUGCGGCUUAACCGCAGGGCUGCCUUCUAAACUGUCAGGCUCGAGCACAGUAGAGGCGAGUGGAAUACCGAGUGUAGAGGUGAAAUUCGUAGAUAUUCGGUGGAACACCAGUGGCGAAGGCGACUCGCUGGACUGAUACUGACGCUGAGGUGCGAAAGCGUGGGGAGCAAACAGG